AUUGAACGCUGGCGGCGUGCUUAACACAUGCAAGUCGAACGAAGUGGCGAACGGGUGAGUAACGCGUAAUCAACCUGCCCUUCAGAGGGGGACAACAGUUGGAAACGACUGCUAAUACCGCAUACUGAAUGAGGGGCUUGCGUCUGAUUAGCUAGUUGGCGGGGUAACGGCCCCCCAAGGCGAUGAUCAGUAGCCGGUCUGAGAGGAUGAACGGCCACAGUGGGACUGAGACACGGCCCAGACUCCGACGGGAGGCAGCAGUGGGGAAUCUUCCGCAAUGGACGAAAGUCUGACGGAGCAACGCCGCGGGAGUGAUGACGGCCUUCGGGGUGUAAAGCUCUGUUAAUCGGGACGCGGUACCGGAAUAGAAAGCCACGGCUAACUACGUGCCAGCAGCCGCGGUAAUUC
rnacentral:rRNA from 1 species